rnacentral:lncRNA from 1 species
CAGCUCCAGAGCAGCAGCAAAGGGAAGCAGCGUCCUCGCCAAUACCUGGGCUGUCCUUCAAGGCUCAGUGCAAGGAAAAACACCUGGGUUGGACAUCAGAUAAGGAAAUUGAGACUCAAAGAGGACCCCCAUGGAGAAAGUAAUGAAGCUUGAAUUUAGACCCAAGAUCAUGUCCCUUUCACUUCCUCAGCCUGCCCAGGAAGUUUAUAGCGUGCUCAUGCCACAAACCCUGGAGCUGGAUACGCGCUCAAUUGGCUUGAAGACCUUGGGUAGUGCUGACUUCCAGACCACUGAGGUCACCUGCAUAAGCGAGUCUGGCAACAAAUAAUCGUCUUCCAGAAAAUGACCAGAAACUCAGCCUGCUUUUUGUCAUUUCACCAGCCCCACCAUCUUUCCUUUAUUCUAGAGCUCCUGGCACACUUACAUGAAUCUCUUGAAAGAAGAGAAAUGAGAGCAUUCAUUCCAUACUAAUACAAUUGUGCCCUAUGGAAAGGCUUUUUGCUGGCAGACAUAGUAGACGGACCAUUUCCCAACUUCUUUUUCUUUGCCACCUUCCAGCCAAAGGUGUCCAUAUGACACAGCUCUGGACAGGAUAAUUGGAAGUCUGUUGUGGGAUUUCUGAGAAAGCUUUUGAUUUUCUGACAGAGACAUUUUUGCUUCCCCUUACCACUUCCUACUGGAUUACAGAUGUGAUGGAAAGAGCUGCAGCAGCCAUAAUACAACCAUAAAGGAGAGGAGAAGAGAAUUGCAAAGGCAUCAACCCACAUUGAAUUGAACUGCUAAGUUAACACUAGCAGUUACUUGCCUCCAGAUAUCUUGGUGUGUGAGAACAUUAAAUCUGUAUGUGUCUA